GUGGGGAAUAUUGCACAAUGGAGGAAACUCUGAUGCAGCGACGCCGCGUGAACGAUGAAGGCUUUCGGGUCGUAAAGUUCUGUCCUAGGGGACGAUAAUGACGGUACCCUAGGAGGAAGCCCCGGCUAACUACGUGCCAGCAGCCGCGGUAAUACGUAGGGGGCAAGCGUUGUCCGGAUUUAUUGGGCGUAAAGGGUUCGCAGGUGGUCCUUUAAGUCAGAUGUGAAAGAUCACAGCUCAACUGUGGUAAGCAUUUGAAACUGAAGGACUUGAGUUAAGGAGAGGAAAGUGGAAUUCCUAGUGUAGCGGUGAAAUGCGUAGAUAUUAGGAGGAAUACCAGUGGCGAAGGCGACUUUCUGGACUUAUACUGACACUGAGGAACGAAAGCGUGGGGAGCAAACAGGAUUAGAAACCCUUGUAGUCC
rnacentral:rRNA from 1 species